AUAAAGCUACCAAUCCUUCCAAUCGCCAAGAGGACUGGGAAUACAUAAUUGGCUUCUGUGAUCAGAUCAACAAAGAGCUUGAAGGGCCCCAGAUUGCCGUCCGACUACUAGCCCACAAGAUCCAGUCUCCCCAGGAAUGGGAAGCAGUACAGGCCCUGACGGUAUUGGAGGCGUGUAUGAAGAACUGUGGGAGGAGAUUUCAUAACGAAGUGGGAAAGUUCCGGUUUUUAAAUGAGUUAAUCAAAGUCGUCUCUCCAAAGUACCUGGGGGACAGAGUGUCUGAGAAGGUGAAGACUAAGGUCAUCGAGUUGCUUUAUAGCUGGACAAUGGCCCUGCCAGAAGAAGCAAAAAUCAAAGAUGCCUACCAUAUGUUGAAGAGACAAGGCAUUGUGCAGUCUGACCCACCAAUCCCCAUGGACAGGACACUGAUCCCUUCUCCACCACCUCGUCCCAAAAACCCUGUUUUUGAUGAUGAGGAGAAAUCUAAGCUUUUAGCCAAACUGCUGAAAAGCAAAAACCCAGAUGACCUGCAGGAGGCAAAUAAGCUCAUUAAGUCCAUGGUGAAGGAAGAUGAGGCUCGUAUCCAAAAGGUGACCAAGCGCCUGCAUACACUGGAGGAGGUCCACAACAGCGUGAAGCUGUUGCAUGAGAUGCUGCUUCACUAUAGCCAGGAGCACUCAUCAGAGGCAGACCGAGAGCUCAUGAAGGAGUUGUUUGAUCGGUGUGAGAAUAAGAGACGGACAUUAUUUAAAUUAGCCAGCGAGACAGAGGACAAUGACAAUAGUUUGGGGGACAUCCUGCAGGCCAGUGACAACCUCUCCCGGGUCAUCAACUCUUAUAAAACAAUUAUUGAAGGGCAGGUCAUCAAUGGUGAGGUGACCACCUCAACCAUGCCUGACUCUGAAGGAAACAGCCAAGGCACUCUCAUCGACCUUGCUGAGUUGGAGACACCUAACAAUUCAUCCCCAAUGUUGGCGCCAGCACCUGCCCCACUCCCCUCAGGCAUCCCUGUCCUCCCUCCACCCCCUCAGACCUCUGGACCUUCACGCAGUCGCUCAUCCAGCCAGGCUGAAGCUCCCACAGGGCUCAGCAGCACAAGCAACGCCCUUUCCUUGCUGGAUGAGGAACUGCUUUGCUUGGGCCUUACUGACCCAGCCCCUACUGCUCCCCCCAAAGAAUCAGCUGGAAACAGCCAGUGGCACAUGUUCCAGAAUGAACAGUCCAACCUGGACUUCUUCUGCCCCAGGCCAGGACCUGCUGUCUGCAGCUCCUCAGAUGGGACCCUGCUCCCAUCCUCAGCCCCUGCCUCAAGUACCUCCCAAGCUCCACUGCCACGUCCCUUCCCAGCUCCCAUGGUCCCUUCCAGUGUACCUGCCCCCAGUGCAGCCUCCUUCAUGUUCUCUUCUGGACUCACCCCAGCUCUGACUCCAAAGGCUGAACCUGUGGCCCCAGAAAGCCAUUGCUCAGCACUGGGUGACAGCACCCUGCACCACCUGGAUGCCCUUGAUCAGCUUCUGGAAGAGGCCAAAGUGACCUCAGGCUUAGUGAAACCUGCUUCCUCUUGCUUUUCGCCCGGAACCACCGCCUCCCCACUGCUCCCUACUUCCACCCCAGCCAAGCCUCUUCUGACCUUCUCCACUGGGCCUGGCAGCCCUCUCUUCCAGCCACCAGCCUUCCAGUCCCAGGGCAGCCCCAUGAAAGGGCCUGAGCUCUCCCUGACCAGUGUCCAUGUGCCCCUGGAAUCAAUCAAGCCUAGCAGUGCCCUUCCUGUGACAGCCUAUGAUAAAAAUGGCUUCCGCAUCCUCUUCCACUUUGCCAAGGAGUGUCCACCUGGACGGCCUGAUGUGCUGGUGGUGGUGGUGUCCAUGCUGAAUACAGCUCCCUUGCCUGUCAAGAGCAUUGUGUUGCAGGCUGCAGUGCCCAAGUCAAUGAAAGUGAAGUUGCAACCACCUUCUGGGACAGAACUCUCUCCAUUUAGUCCCAUCCAGCCACCUGCAGCCAUCACCCAGGUCAUGCUGCUAGCCAAUCCAAUGAAGUGGCAGACUGUCCUAUGAACAUCUCAGCAGGACAUGGAACCCAGCCUAGCAGAAACAGAACUUGGCCUCAUCACAGCCUCAACUAGGGAUAGGAAAGAAAAUGGAAGAGAACCAGUUACCCCUUCAAAAGCAGGUUCAGAGUAGACAUGAACAGAAACUGGUGGAUUAUAAAAAUUUGCCUUGUACUUGCAAAAGAAAACGUUUAAUUAUUUUAAAAAAUCUAUAUAUACAUUGCCAUAUAGUUGCAGCAGUUCUCAGCUGACCUCAAGAACCUUCCAAUGAGCCUUCUCUUAUUAUUGCGCGAGCAAGAUUCCGGGCCAGAGCGAGUCUCAGCAUUUCCACCUUAGUGGUUUCUAUAUCGUCGUCCUGAAAAGCAGAGAGCCAACAUGUGUUGCAGAAAAUCUUCAAAGAUACACAGAGUAAGAGUAUGCAGAGGGCCACAAUGCAGCUGAUCAACAGGGGAAAAACAUGGACGAUUGCCCCCUAAAAUGUGGCACGUUGACUACAGGCUAAGCAGAAACCAAGAGGCACAUGUGCUAGACCAAUGUUUUAGGGGUACAGGGCAGGGGAAGGAAAGCCAGACAGCCAUUUCCUGUCUUCACUGUGGAAGCAUCAAACUGGAAGCUAAACUGACCUGUAGUCGCUGUGCAUCAGGCUCUGCACGCUCUGGCUUCCCUGAAGUCAAGUCCUCCAGACAUCGCAUCAGCUCGUAUGUUUGUUCUGCUGAGAAAAUCACCUGGGGGAGAGAAGCUGCUUCACUUAGCUGCUCUCCAGCCAAGGCCAGAGAAAGUCGGCCCUCUGUGCCCUUAAGAGAAGUACUUUGUAUGUGGUGCCACGGAGGAUGGAGCAGUAUCAGAGUCUUGACAUUCAGCCCUCUAAGCUUCUACUUAGGCCCUGGACAGAGAACUGUUAUGGACAGCUGCUGUCAACAUUUUUUUGGAGUGACUACUGGAUUUGUAGCAUGGAUGCUUGGGGAGAAUACACAGGCAAACAACUACUUCAGAGAAAACAUGAAUAUGGGCCAUGACUACAGAACUAAGCUGUCAGGAAUUACAAAAGGCAGAAAAGAAAAUCCCCAGGAACUUAAGCCUUACCUGUUUCUGUUCCAAAAGGGGCAGGGCAUCUGUGAGCAGAGUCAUCCAGAAAGAGCGGGGCGCAAUCUGGGAAGUCAUCAGAGACAACAGGAGAGACGCAGCAUCCCCAAAGCGCUUCUCUCCAUAUAAUCGGUGGAACUCACGGUAUUUUCCUAUCAAGAGGAGGGAAAACCAGGUCACCUGCAAGCUCCCAGGUGACAUGUAGAUCACCCAGGACCCAGACAAGAGGAAAGGGAUCCUAGAUCACCCAUUCCACAGAGCAGGGAGAAGUUUCCAGAGCGGUCUCUAAGUUCACAGAUCAAUGAUAAUCAAAUUCAGAAGUUCCAAAAUACUGGCUUUGAAGAGCUCCCAGAGCCAAAUGUGGGAAACUUAUCAGCAUCAAAAGAAGUCAAAGAGUCCUGGAUUAUAACAGACUGAUGGUAUUCCACAAAUCCCCAAUCCAAUAAUAAAGAAGGGAACACUUCCUUACAGUAAGACACUAGCUAAUACACAGGAGCAACAAUCUAGAGCCAGAAGUGUAGUGAGGAAAAGACAUUCAAAUCACCCAAAGCAUCUCCCCACCAAUCUCUAAAUCACAGGGGAAAAGAGUACAUCAUGAGCCACCCAGCCUACUCUACUCUAGCUACAUGCUCAGAACACCACCAACAGCAGUAAGGGGACAGACAGCUCACCAAUUCCAUUCACAACAUCUCAGUGGCAUUCCUGCCUCAAACAGCUUUGAAUCUAAUCAGGAAAAAUCUGAUAAACCCAAACAGAACAUUCUACAAGGGUGGGUCUGUGCCUUCAAAAAUAUUAAGAUAAACUGGGGGCUGGGGAUAUAGCUCAGUUGGUAGAGUGUUUGCCUCACAAGCAAGACCUUGGGUUCAAUUCCCAGCCACAUGGGGAAAAAAAAGAUGGGCAAAGUGACACAGCAGAAUUACAAGUCAGAGAUCAGCCUCAGCAACUCGGCAAGACCCUGUCCCCAAAAAACAUUUUUUAGGGGCUACGGCUAUGGCUCAGUGGAAGAGCACUUGCCUAGCACAUGUGAGGCACUGGUUCAAUCAUUAGCACACAUAAAAAUAUAGGCAUGCUCUCCAUCUACAACUACAAAAAAAAAAAAAAAUUUUUUUUUUUUUAAGGACUGAGAAUGUAGUUCAGUGUUAAGCAUUCAUGGAUUCAAUACUCAGUGUACCCCACCAGAAAAAAAAAAAAAAAA